UACAGAGUUCUCAAGCGUUGUUCGGAUUCAUUGGGCGUAAAGGGUGCGUAGGCGGCGCGGUAAGUCGGAUGUGAAAUCUCGGAGCUUAACUCCGAAACUGCAUUCGAUACUGCCGUGCUUGAGGACUGGAGAGGAGACUGGAAUUUACGGUGUAGCGGUGAAAUGCGUAGAUAUCGUAAGGAAGACCAGUGGCGAAGGCGGGUCUCUGGGCCGAAACUGACGCUGAGGAGCGAAAGCGUGGGGAGCAAACAGG
rnacentral:rRNA from 1 species